rnacentral:rRNA from 1 species
UGGGGAAUAUUGGACAAUGGGCGCAAGCCUGAUCCAGCCAUGCCGCGUGGAUGAUGAAGGCCCUAGGGUUGUAAAGUCCUUUUAACGGGGAAGAUAAUGACGGUACCCGUAGAAUAAGCCCCGGCUAACUUCGUGCCAGCAGCCGCGGUAAUACGAAGGGGGCUAGCGUUGCUCGGAAUUACUGGGCGUAAAGCGCACGUAGGCGGUCUCUUAAGUCGGUGGUGAAAUCCUGGAGCUCAACUCCAGAACUGCCUUCGAUACUGGGGGACUCGAGUCCGGGAGAGGUGAGUGGAACUGCGAGUGUAGAGGUGAAAUUCGUAGAUAUUCGCAAGAACACCAGUGGCGAAGGCGGCUCACUGGCCCGGUACUGACGCUGAGGUGCGAAAGCGUGGGGAGCAAACA